rnacentral:rRNA from 1 species
CCUACGGGAGGCAGCAGUGAGGAAUAUUGGUCAAUGGCCGGAAGGCUGAACCAGCCAUGCCGCGUGAAGGUCAGUGCCCUAUGGGCGUUAAACUUCUUUUGUGCGGGAGCAAUAAUGGUCACGUGUGGCCAGACGAGAGUACCGUACGAAUAAGCAUCGGCUAACUCCGUGCCAGCAGCCGCGGUAAUACGGGGGAUGCAAGCGUUAUCCGGAUUUAUUGGGUUUAAAGGGUGCGUAGGCUGUGCGGUAAGUCAGCGGUGAAAUGCCCCCGCUCAACGGGGUGAAGUGCCAUUGAUACUGCCUGGCUGGAAUGCGGGUGCCGUGGGAGGAAUGUGUGGUGUAGCGGUGAAAUGCAUAGAUAUCACACAGAACACCGAUUGCGAAGGCAUCUCACGAAUCCGCGAUUGACGCUGAUGCACGAAAGCGUGGGUAUCAAACAGGAUUAGAUACCCGAGUAGUC